ensembl:lncRNA
UGUUUCACUAUCAUUAAAUUCAAUAUGCAUUGCAAAACUUUGCAAGUCCCAGAAUUGAGUCAGAACCUACUGAAGACUAGGACAUCUGCAACGUAACAUCAGUUUAAAUCAAGCUUCUCUGUUGCUAGGAAUAGGCUGUAACCUUAACAUUUAGACUCUUGAGAUCAGACUGUGAGCACACAGAGGCUACACUCCUCCCAUCACUAUAACUUUAAAUGGAAGCUACUUGAUUUUGAUGGAAAAGAAAUUUCUAAUUAUAUAAAGAAGACUGUGUGCUAUUGGUCACGGCAACACCAAAGCAAUAAUUCCAAGAAAAGUCAAUCAUGAUUUUUUUUUUUUAAUAAUUGGAAAACAAAUUAAAAAAAAUCAUAUUAUUGCAAUUGCAGAUUAAUGAUCACAAAUUGCACUGGGACAUUUUAGAGAAACUCAGAGAGCAACCAAUGAGAUUCUUAAGCAAGACUAAAUGCUCCAGAAAGGGCAACAGUCUAAAUCAAUGGUCUUUACAUAUUCACCAACAUGCAAGUGAUUCAUAACAUCAUUUAAUUUUACCUUACAGUGAGAAAAAAAGUUUGCUUUUCUACAGUGCACAUGUGCUUUACUGGUUUUUGUGGGUGGUUUUUUUUUUUUUUUUUUUUUUUUUUUUUGGUAGAGACAUAUAUUGAGCUGAAAAACCUGAAUAAUUUAAUAAAUAUUAAAAUUUGCUCUCCUUUGCAUCUAUUUUUUUUUUCCCCUCUAAGCUACACAUUACUCACCAUAGAUCAUUCAUACUCAUCAGCAGAACUACCUGGUUCUGCCACCAAGCUGUCCACUCUGCCCACCACACAUAGGAAAUAAUAACUUGAUGUGGCAGAGAGACUACUCGAAGACUUGCUGAAAGAUCAGAUCAAUGCCUUUGAACUUAUUUUUAAUCAUCCCAUCUUUGUAUUCAUGAGCAGCAGUGACAGAACUACCUGAAUGCUUGUUCAUUUUUUUUUCUAAGCAGCACUGCAAAACAGCAGCAGAGUCUCCAGAGAACGUUGCUACUCUUCAUCUGUUAAUGUGGUAGCUUUGGACCAAAAUCCUGUUGAUGAAAAAGAAGAGCAAUCCCCUUCCCCAGCUGAUUAGAUCCAGUUAUUAUGUGGUAAGGAUUUCUUCCAGUUUAUUACUUUGUUGCUUUCCAUCUCCUUUUCCACUUUCCCCCAGUUACUGUUUCCUCUGCAUUCUGCUUCUGCUUUACAUUUUACACAAUUCCAACAUGAUUCAGCACAAACAGUUUUUCUGCUGGGGAAACCUACAAAGCAUGACAGCUAAGUUCAUGAUAUCAUGCUCUGAAGCCUGACACGUUGCUGC